GCCCGUUUAGCUCAGUUGGUUAGAGCAUGUCAUUAGUAAUGACAAGGUCUGUCGUUCGAAUCGGCAAUCGGGCU
rfam:Thalassiosira oceanica strain CCMP1005 To_g50218, whole genome shotgun sequence.